GACGUAGGAGGCGAGCGUUGUCCGGAGUUACUGGGCGUAAAGCGCGCGUAGGCGGCUCGACAAGUCGGCCGUGAAAUCUCCAGGCUCAACUUGGAGGGGUCGGGCGAGACUGUCGGGCUCGAGGUGGGCAGAGGGCAGUGGAAUUCCGGGUGUAGUGGUGGAAUGCGUAGAGAUCCGGAGGAACACCAGUGGCGAAGGCGGCUGCCUGGGCCUGGCCUGACGCUGAGGCGCGAAAGCGUGGG
rnacentral:rRNA from 1 species